ensembl:snRNA U4 U4 spliceosomal RNA
AGCUUUCAGCAGUGGCGGUACCAUAGCCAAUGAGGUUUACCUGAGGCAUGAUUAUUGCUAAUUGAAAUUUUCCCAAUAGCUUGCCAUGACAACUUGAAAUAUAGUUGGCAUCGAGAAUUUUUGAGACUCUCCACAGAGG